AAUGUUUAUCAAAUAAAUUUUCAUGUUUUCUCUGUUCUAGUUUUAAUGAUGAAGCAUGUAUUAAUCGUUAUUAUGAGCAUUACCUUCAAGCGCACUUCGACAAUUUUGUGCGUUUAUCUAACCCACAUGUUAAUAAUAUAGUGUGUAUCAUUUAAAACACCAUCCCUGGAAUAGGGUGUGUUAGUCCAUAAUUGGCGGUGAACUGUAGUCGUAAAGUGGGAAGGCUGCACUAAUCACUCAAGCUGUUGAACCAUUUAUUGCGACCUGGGUCUCCUCGGAAAAGGCGAGCGUGGUCUAGCGAUCAUUGAUGUAGCCACGAGUGUGAUUGUGUGACUUAACGCCGCCAGGUAUGGUAAGCACGCAGAGCAGAAAAUUGACUGCACUUCAAGAUAAACCAGGCGAUUUUAGGGCAUUGGACCUUGAAAAUACUUCCAACAUAAACGGAGUAUUCGAGAUUACCGUGUUCGAAAUAUCAGAAGUUUUUUUAAAUCAUUUAUAGAGGGAAAAUGACCGGGACUGGCAGUCGACUUUGACUCAAGCGGGGUAUUCGAGAUAAACCAUAUUCGAGAUACAGAUAUUUUACUGUAUUCUGCAUAAUCAAUUUUUGGAAACAUGCACAAUCAUACCGCAAAAGACCCAGUCACACUGUCAUGAGAUGGUGCUAUGAGUUUUGGCAAGUUAUAACUCGAUCACCACAACUUUUCAGGUGUCAUGUAGGACUCGAACACAUAUCUGUGCGUGUCGAAAAAAUGUCUCUUCAUAUCGCCAGUACAUGCUACAAGUUGCGUUGCAAGUUCGGAGGACAAUGAUACAUCUCUGCUCAACAUGCGCCCCAUUAUGCAGCGAGUUUCCAAGACUUCUGUUCAACAUUUGUACGAUUUUGUACAUGUUCUGCUCUUGUCAUGAUGUUAUAGUUAGUAACACUUUACCCAUCAAGCAGCAUCCUUAUCGUUUAAAUCCAUUCAAAUUAUAGUUCUUAAGAACUGAAGUGCAGUACAUGCUGUACAAUGGACAUUAUCAAACCAAGUAAAGUGACUGGAGCUCACAUGAUCUAGAGUGGCCCACAAAGAAGCUACAUAGCACGUUUCAGCUUGAUAUGUGACAGAAAAAUGAAAAUAGAAACAGAAAACCCCAAACUGAUGGACGGAAGAAUAGAUGGACACGCCGACGGUCAUACAGACAUUGCUGUACCCUAAUACGUCCUGUCUAAAGACUGGCGUAUAAAAAUGAAAACUACAAUAACAGGAUUCCACUGUACAUACAUGCCAACUUUCCCGAUUUGUGCGGGAUUCUCCCGAUUUGAAGCAGUUGAAAAGGCAAAUCCCGAUAUCCCGAUCGGGAUUGCAAAAAUACCCCGAAAUCCCGAUUUUCUAAAAAUAUCUCCCAUUUUACAACAACAAACCCUCAUUUCCAACCGGAAUUUGAAACCCCGUGUCAUUUCUGAACUGGCCAAUCAGAAAUCGGGACAAUAGUCAGCCAUUGCUGUUUACCUGUGUCGCGUGGUAUCGGAGUGAUGUAAUUUAACUGGUCUGCCUGUGUCGGGGUGCUUAUUGGACAGUGUGAAGCAUGCUUUGAUAGUAAUUAAUCAGGAAGACGGAUUUCAAAUUGACAUAUUCUUUACACAAACGUGAAUGACAAAGAUGAUAGUGUCACCACCAAUCGGACAUAUCCGAUUUUUGCCUCUAGCUGACAGCAUCCAAAAUAUGCGAUAAGAUGUCAUGGGUGCAAAGGUUUUGUUCGCAAACAUCAUAGCAGGGUAGAUCACUCCUUUUCUGGUUGCAAUGCAGAUUGUUCCACCACUCUGCAAGCCCAUGUUUACAGACAAGCAAGAUCGCCUUUGUAGUCGUACCUAAAUGCAUGUGCUUUAAUUAAAAUUUUGAUAUAUAGAUCAGCCAAUGUUUAUAUGGUGUAAAAGGAUGCAGCUUUAAGUAUUAUUUGAUAAUAUGUAUGUGAUUUGUUGUUGGAGAGGAUUUUUUGCUGAAUAGAUGAUUUUAAUAAAAUAUUUAUGUACAUCUUUCAAAGUGUUUUUUUUUUUUUUUUAUAGUUUUGUUAAAGUUAAUGGUCAAACACACUUGAUGUUGUGUUAAUAUAUGAUACAUGUACAAUGAUUAGAUCAUUAUUUGAUUUGAAAAGACAAAUAUUUAUUUUCAUGGUAAAAUGUCGUGAAUUUUGAGCUUUGAAAAAAGUCGUCGCGCGCAAAAUCUCCCAUGGGGAUUUUUAAAAGUUGGCAUGUAUGACUGUAUAUAUGUAAGACUCCAAAGUGCGAUGGUCAUGCCAAAGUGCGAUGGUCUGUGCCAAACCCCGAUGGUGUGACACGCCAAAGUGCGAUGGUCCACACUCAUAUGCCAAAGUGCGAUGGUCUGACACGCCAAAGUGCAAUGGUGUGACACACCGAUAUCCAUUGGUUUGUAAACGACACAGUGUUUUGGUACAGACUGAACCAACCGUGUGUUGUUUCACCAAAAUAUCAGUGCAAAAUCCAUGCACAAAAAAUAAGAAUAAGAACCUCUUUCAUUACCAGUUAGUUGUCGUGUUAUUAAACACAAAAUUUUCCAACGCGAAAUCGUAUAGAAUGUUUUGUAUUAUAGCAUACCCCCAGGAAUUUUAUACGUGUACGCCAAAGUAAUAAAUGAUCAUGAAUUAAAGAAUGUUUGGGCGAAGUAGAUAGUUCGACAACAAAUGUACUUUGUUGUUCUCACUAUACUCAACAGCGUAAAUCUUGCUGUUGCUGUCGUCCAUGUAACAUUUCUUCAGUUUUAUUUUGAAAGACAUUAAGAAUGACAUCACAAUGACGUUACUGUACUCCGCACCAUCAGACUUUGGCAUGACCAUCGCACUUUGGCGUCCGUAACGCUAACAAACCAUCGCACUUUGGCGCACACCAUCGCACUUUGGCGUGACCAUCACACUUUGGAGCGACCAUUGCACUUUAAAGUCUUACGUAUGUAAGUGUGUAUAAACCAGACCAGGGCAUCAAGUGAAUUUUGGUCCAAAAAAUAUAGGACAUACCUCAGAAAUAUAGCACCUUUUUCUCAGAAAUAUAGGAAUAUAUAGGACAAGAAUAACAAAGAACUUCUGGACUUUUAAGCCUCCUCCUCCACUCACUACACUCUCCUUUUAUUUACAAGUUAAGUGAUUAAGAUGGCUAAGUGCAUCUGUGUUCAUUCAUAUGCCAUAAUACAUAUUUUAAUCAUAGUAACUGUUGAGAUAAUAAUCAUAGAAAUACAAACUACACUGGCCUACUGUAACAUUAUACAUUUGAGUACAUAUUCAACUGUGUAAGAUGCUUAUGUUGCAACCAUGAAUGAGGUUGUUAGAACAUGGGACAGCUUCAUCUGCAAGACUGUUUGACUUCCUGCAAGGAAGAAAAACAAAUCCAGCAGGUAAACCUGGAAUAGUUGGACUGGGCAGGGUUGCCAAUUGUUUGUUUUCCCCGCAAAAUGAGAAUUUAGGCUUAUCUAUUGUUCACAAUUUUCCCCAAUAUAAUACUGUGUAGUGGGUUCUAACAUAUGCAAUUGGUUUUUGUGUUAUUAUAAGUUUGCUAUAAAAGUUAUUCACUGUUUCCAGAAAUCUGUGAUUUUUUUGUGCAAAAAUUGUUUGUUUUCCCCCAAAAUGAGGAAUUUAGGCUUAUCUAUUGUUCACAAUUUUUUUUAAAUAUAAUGCUGUAUAGUGAGUUCUAAUAAAUGCAGUUGAUUUUUGUGUUAUUUUUUGUUUGCUAUAAAAGUUAUUCAAUGUUUCCAGAAAUCUGUGAUUUUUUUGUGUAAAAACCAGUCGUUUUACCCCAAAAUAAGGCAUUUAGGCAUAUUUAUUGGUCAUAAUUGUUUUCAGUGUAAUCUUGUAUAAUGAAUUCUAACAUGUGGAAAUGUUUGUUUUGUUAUUUCUUGUUUGAUAUAAAAGUUAUUUAUUGUUUCCAGAAAUCUGUGAUUUUUCGUUGUUUUUUCAUUAAUUUGCCCCAAAAUUAAUAAAACAUAUCAAAAUCAAUAUAAAAAUGGCUGAAAUUGAUGACACUAAUCGCAAUUAAUCAGAAUAACAGUAAAAUAUAGUGUUUUAACAUUGGGCAAAUUUUGGCCCUUAAUGCCCCUUGUCCUUUGAAGUAAAUGUUGUAUAGUUACAAACAGAUGACACAAUUUAUUUGUAAUAUACAGUACCGGUUUUGCUUCAGAAUCCAAUGCUUACCCUAAAAUAUAAGUAUUUAUAGGAAUCUCACAGGAAUAUAGGAAUUUUGUGGAAAUAUAGGAAUUUAUAGGAAUAUACCCCCAAAUAUAGGAAUUUAUAGGAAUAACCCCCAAAUAUAGGAAUUUAGAGGAAACUUGAUGCCCUGUCAGACUAAAUCUUUAAAUACACAAGUGAUAGAGCUAAUAAAUACAAAUACACUGACCAUUGGUCCCAGAUCAAGCAAUCACAGAGGUAGCUAAUAAAUACAAAUACACUGACCAUUGGUCCCAGAUCAAGCAAUCACAGAGGUAGCUAAUAAAUACAAAUACAUUGACCAUUGGUCCCAGAUCAAGCAAUCACAGAGGUAGCUAAUAAAUACAAAUGCACUGACCAUUGGUCCCAGAUCAAGCAAUCACAGAGGUAGCUAAUAAAUACAAAUACACUGACCAUUGGUCCCAGAUCAAGCCGAGGUGGUUUUGGUUGCAAGUUGCUUGUGACACAACAUCUUUUCCAAUCUUCCUGCUGCCAUGAUGGAGUGAACACACAACUUUGUAUUCAUCAUAUCUAUUAAUAUAACAUGUACAAACACUAAACUUCAUCAAGUAUUACUGUAGUAUAUAUUAUGUGUGUAUGGAGAGAACAGCAAAAUAAAACGGUGGAGGCCAAUGGGCCUUAAUGGUCACCUGAGUAUCACACAAUCAACCAGCUUGGAUAAUUUGAUAAAAAAUGUUAGUAAAUAGCCAAUAAUUUGUUGGUAAUAAAAUGUCCCUAACUUCUAGAGAAUUUCAGCAUGCAAUACCUAUGGCUAUUAAUGAAUGCCGACUUUACAUGCUGUCAUCAAAUUAAUACGGAAUUUCCGAGUUGCCUAAUAGUUUUUCCCUUUGUAGAACUCUUACGUAUAGCAAGACGUAAAACAUACUUUCGUCCAUACGAAGUGGGUACAAAUGCUUAUCUUUUUAAGUCGUUAAAACAGGUAGUGAAAGUUCCAUCGCCAAACAUUCGGCAUCAGGUGUGAAUGUCACAGGUCCUCAAAGAUGAACUUAACAAGAGUACCGCUAAUGGUACAUAACACACCCGUGAAAAGCUAAUAUAUGGUGUUUUUCUUACACCAUGAUUUGUAGACCUUGGCUUCAAGUGGUAUCAGCAAUCAUCAGGGUGUGACAUACAUUCUUUGCAUCUUAAAAACAAGACAAAUCAUGUACUCUCAAUGCAAUAUUUUCACUUGGCAUAAGAUGCAUGUGUACCAAGUUUGAUGGUCCUUGCCCCCAACGAAUCGGUCUGUAUCCUGCUACUACAACCUUGACCUUUGACCUUAAAAAACAAUAGGCCUCCUCCACUUGGCAUAAAAUAUGUGUACCAAGUUUGAUGGUUCUAUUCCCAACAGUUCGGUCUGUAUACUGCCUACAAAGUUUUCCUACUAAGUGAUACUGUCACCUUGACCUUUGACCUUGAAAAAUAAUAGGCAUCUUCCUCUCAUUAUGGUGAUCAAAUGUACCAAUUUACAAUAUCUUGGAGCUUACGGUUUGGUUUGUAUCCUGCCUACAAGGUUUUCCUACUGUGAUACUGCAACCUUAAACUUUUACCUUAAACCUUGAAAAACAAUACUGUAUAUGCUUGCCUAUAGGUCGGUUCGCCUGUAAGUCGGUUGUAUAUUUUGUAGGCUAUUUUGGAGGGAUAUGCCAUUGAGCUGCUUAUAAGUCGGUAUAACUUUUUUUCAAGAAUCGGUUGACAAUUUCAAAUCAAUGUGCUAAUGUUUUCACCUGUUUCAAAUAAUAUUUUGUGAAAUACACUGAUGAAUAAAAUCAUUAAAAUAUGUAAAUACUUGUACUUUAUGUAUAUAAUCCUAGAAUACGUGAAUAACAUAAUAUUUCCAGUCAAUGUUAAUCAUUGUAAUCGUUGGAGUACGAAGUUGUUAAAAAACUACUAUACAAUAUGCUGUCCAGAAAAAAUGCUAAUCUUUAUAGGACUCGUCUAUAAGUCAGAUGUAGAGUUUUGGACCAAUUUUUAACUCCCAAAAAUCUGACCAAAAGGCAAGUUUAUACGGUAGGCAUCUUCCUCUAAUCAUGGUGAUCAAAUGUACCAAGUUGUAAUAUCCUGGAGCUUACGGUUCGGUUUGUAUCCUGCCUACAAGGUUUUCCAUCUAUGUGACACUACAUCCUUGACCUUUGACCUCUAACCCUGAAAAAUAAUGCGCAUCUUCCUCUCAUCAUGGCUAUCAAAUGUACCAAGUUGCAAUAUUCUGGAGCUUACGGUUCGGUUUGUAUCCUUCCUAAAAUGUUUUCCAACUAAGUGAUACUGCUACCUUGACCUUUUACCUUUAACCUUGAAAAACAAUAGUCAUCUUCCUCUAAUUAUGGUGAUCAAAUGUACCAAGCUGCAAUAUUCUGAAGCUUACGGUUUGGUUUGUAUCCUACCUAGAAGGUUUUUCUAUUAGUAUUUUCCUAUUAUGUAAUACUACGACCUUGACCUUUGACUUCUGACCUUCAAAAACAAUAGGCAUCUUCCUUUCAUCAUGGUGAUCAAAUAUACUAAGUUGUAAUAUCCUGGAGCUUACAGUUUGGCUUGUAUCCUGCCUACAAGGUUUUCCAUCUAAGUGAUACUGCAACCUUGACCUUUGACCUAUAACCUUGAAAAAUAUUGGGCAUCUUCCUCUCAUCAUAGUGAUCAAAUGUAUCAAGUUGCAAUAUUCUGGAGCUUACGGUUUGGUUUGUAUCCUGCCUAGAACAUUUUCCUACUAAGUAAUACUACGACAUUGACCUUUUGUUUCAUACUUCUCCAGUCUGAUUAAUUAAAAUCACCACACCCCUCUCCUACCAUCACCUGAGGAGAAGGGGGGUUAAUCAGACUAACAUUUCUCAUUCAUGAAAGUGCAUGUAAUUUAUUCAUUCAUAAAUUUUUGUUUGUUCCUAAUUAUGCCCCCCUUCAAAGAAGAGGGGCAUAUUGCUUUGCACGUGUCGGUCGGUCGGUUGGUCGGUAGACCAUAACUUGCCCGCUCAAUAUAUUGAGAACUGUUCACUUGAUCAUAAUGGUAUUUCAUAUGUGUGUUGGUUAUGAGAAGAGGACCCCUAUUGUUUUUCAGGUCAAAAGGUCAAAUGUCAAGGGUCAAUCUACUCUGGACAAAGGAAGACACUGUCCGUUCAAUACCUUGAGAACCCUUUGCUUGACAGAUAUCAAUCUUGGUACACUGGCACAUCCUAAAGAGUAGAUGACCCCUAUAGAUUUUGAGAUCACAUGGUCAAAGGUCAAACUGGACAUAGGAAUAUACUGACCACUCAAUGUGUAGAGAACCCUUUACUUGACAGUCAUCAAACUUGGUACACUGGUAUAUCUUUAGGAGAAGAUAAC